rnacentral:rRNA from 1 species
GACGAACGCUGGCGGCGUGCCUAACACAUGCAAGUCGAGCGGGGAUUUAAGUGGAAGUUCUUCGGAAUGGAGAUUUAAAUUCUAGCGGCGGACGGGUGAGUAACGCGUGAACAAUCUGUCCCGGACAGGGGGAUAACACUUGGAAACAGGUGCUAAUUCCGCAUAAGACCACGGCCUCGCAUGGGGCUGAGGUAAAAGGAGCAAUCCGGUUCGGGGUGAGUUCGCGUCCGAUUAGCUAGUUGGUGAGGUAACGGCCCACCAAGGCGACGAUCGGUAGCCGGCCUGAGAGGGUGAACGGCCACAUUGGAACUGAGAGACGGUCCAAACUCCUACGGGAGGCAGCAGUGGGGAAUAUUGGGCAAUGGGCGAAAGCCUGACCCAGCAACGCCGCGUGAGGGAAGAAGGUUUUCGGAUUGUAAACCUCUGUCCUAUGGGACGAAGGAAGUGACGGUACCAUAGGAGGAAGCCCCGGCUAACUACGUG